AGCAGUAGGGAAUCUUCCACAAUGGGCGCAAGCCUGAUGGAGCAACACCGCGUGAGUGAAGAAGGGUUUCGGCUCGUAAAGCUCUGUUGUUGGAGAAGAACGUGCGUGAGAGUAACUGUUCACGCAGUGACGGUAUCCAACCAGAAAGUCACGGCUAACUACGUGCCAGCAGCCGCGGUAAUACGUAGGUGGCAAGCGUUAUCCGGAUUUAUUGGGCGUAAAGCGAGCGCAGGCGGUUGCUUAGGUCUGAUGUGAAAGCCUUCGGCUUAACCGAAGAAGUGCAUCGGAAACCGGGCGACUGA
rnacentral:rRNA from 1 species